rnacentral:rRNA from 1 species
CCUUCCGUAGGUGAACCUGCGGAAGGAUCAUUAAAAAGGGGAGGCUCCCCCACCUCCACCCUUUGUUGUUAAAACUACCUUGUUGCUUUGGCGGGACCGUUAGGGCGCGAGCCGCUGGGGAUUCGUCCCAGGCGAGCGCCCGCCAGUUAAACCAAACUCUUGUUAUUUAACCGGUCGUCUGAGUUAAAAUUUUGAAUAAAUCAAAACUUUCAACAACGGAUCUCUUGGUUCUCGCAUCGAUGAAGAACGCAGCGAAAUGCGAUAAGUAAUGUGAAUUGCAGAAUUCAGUGAAUCAUCGAAUCUUUGAACGCACAUUGCGCCCCUUGGUAUUCCGAGGGGCAUGCCUGUUCGAGCGUCAUUACACCACUCAAGCUAUGCUUGGUAUUGGGCGUCGUCCUUAGUUGGGCGCGCCUUAAAGACCUCGGCGAGGCCACUCCGGCUUUAGGCGUAGUAGAAUUUAUUCGAACGUCUGUCAAAGGAGAGGAACUCUGCCGACUGAAACCUUUAUUUUUCUAGGUUGACCUCGGAUCAGGUAGGGAUACCCGCUGAACUUAAGCAUAUCAAUAAGCGGAGGAA